ACAUUGAGAAUGUGAGAGUGCAGCAAAGCGCGACGCAGCUGCGCUGCCCACGUCAACGUUGCAGUCAGCUUUGAACGAGCUGCAGCUUUGGGUGCGAGCCUGUAUGUGUGUAUCUGUGGUCAACGAACUGCACGGGCCGUGACAAAAGCAACAACAAAAGCUCACAACGAUAUUUUCGGAGUGUUGGUGAAGAAAAGAAACCCAAAAACGAACGAAUGUAUCUGUAUCUGUGAUCGUGCCAAGGGGGGGUACCCAUUCACAGCACACAUGCAAGCUGGGUAAUAUUAGUAUCAACUUCAGAGUAAAAUGCAUUAAGUAAAUUUCGAGUAAAUAAACUCAAAACGAAGACAAAGAAGUCAUCCGCACAUACAAGUGUUUUUUUUGGGAGUGCAGCGACGUCGACUGCGCUGCAACUGCGACGGGGGGCGACUCCAAUUACAAUCUCUUGUUUUUUGUUUUCUUGUUCUUCUUUUUUGUAUGAAAUUGAAUUACACUUUUUAAUGCAUUUUAAAAAUAAUCUCUGAAUGACGCCUCACAAACAGAAUUUAUU